rnacentral:rRNA from 1 species
UACGUAGGGUGCAAGCGUUGUCCGGAAUUAUUGGGCGUAAAGAGCUCGUAGGCGGUGUGUCGCGUCGGCCGUGAAAACCUGCAGCUUAACUGUGGGCUUGCGGUCGAUACGGGCAUCACUGGAGUUCGGCAGGGGAGACUGGAAUUCCUGGUGUAGCGGUGAAAUGCGCCGAUAUCAGGAGGAACACCGGUGGCGAAGGCGGGGUCUCUGGGCCGAAUGACUGACGCUGGAGGCACGAAAGCGUGGGAGCAAACAGG